UACGUAGGGCGCAAGCGUUUGUCCGGAAUUAUUGGGCGUAAAGAGCUCGUAGGCGGUUUGUCGCGUCUGCCGUGAAAGCCCGGGGCUUAACUCCGGGUCUGCGGUGGAUACGGGCAGACUAGAGUGCUGUAGGGGAGACUGGAAUUCCUGGUGUAGCGGUGAAAUGCGCAGAUAUCAGGAGGAACACCGGUGGCGAAGGCGGGUCUCUGGGCAGUAACUGACGCUGAGGAGCGAAAGCGUGGGGAGCAAACAGG
rnacentral:rRNA from 1 species